UGGGGAGGGGGGGGGGGGUUGGGAAAAACAAGGAUUGAAAACGUUUUUGACCCCCCCCCCCCCCCCCCC